UACGUAGGCAGCGAGCGUUGUUCGGAGUUACUGGGCGUAAAGAGUGCGUAGGCGGUUUUCUAAGUUUGGUGUGAAAUCUCCCGGCUUAACUGGGAGGGUGCGCCGAAAACUGGAAGGCUUGAGUAUGGGAGAGGUAAGCGGAAUUCCUGGUGUAGCGGUGAAAUGCGUAGAUAUCAGGAGGAACACCUGUGGUGUAGACGGCUUUCUGGACCAUAGCUGACGCUGAGACACGAAAGCGUGGGUAGCAAACAGG
rnacentral:rRNA from 1 species